rnacentral:rRNA from 1 species
CCUACGGGGGGCAGCAGUGGGGAAUAUUGCACAAUGGGGGAAACCCUGAUGCAGCGACGCCGCGUGAAGGAAGAAGGAUCUCGGUAUUGAAACUUCUAUCAGCAGGGAAGUAAAUGGCGGUACCUGACUAAGAAGCCCCGGCUAACUACGUGCCAGCAGCCGCGGUAAUACGGAGGGGGCAAGCGUUAUCCGGAUUUACUGGGUGUAAAGGGAGCGUAGGCGGUGAUGCAAGUCAGAAGUGAAAGCCCGCAGCUCAACUGCGGGACUGCUUUUGAAACUGUAUGACUAGAUUGCAGGAGAGGUAAGUGGAAUUCCUAGUGUAGCGGUGAAAUGCGUAGAUAUUAGGAGGAACACCAGUGGCGAAGGCGGCUUACUGGACUGUAAAUGACGCUGAGGCUCGAAAGCGUGGGGAGCAAACAGGAUUAGAUACCCCAGUAGUC